rnacentral:rRNA from 1 species
UACGUAGGGGGCAAGCGUUGUCCGGAAUCAUUGGGCGUAAAGCGCGUGUAGGCGGUUCAGUAAGUCUGCUGUGAAAGUCCAGGGCUCAACCCUGGGAUGCCGGUGGAUACUGCUGGGCUAGAGUACGGAAGAGGCGAGUGGAAUUCCCGGUGUAGCGGUGAAAUGCGCAGAUAUCGGGAGGAACACCAAUUGCGAAGGCAGCUCGCUGGGACGUUACUGACGCUGAGACGCGAAAGCGUGGGGAGCAAACAGGAGUUAGAU